CCUACGGGUGGCAGCAGUGAGGAAUAUUGGUCAAUGGACGAGAGUCUGAACCAGCCAAGUAGCGUGAAGGAUGACUGCCCUAUGGGUUGUAAACUUCUUUUAUAUGGGAAUAAAACGUUCCACGUGUGGGAUUUUGUAUGUACCAUAUGAAUAAGGAUCGGCUAAGUCCGUGCCAGCAGCCGCGGUAAUACGGAGGAUCCGAGCGUUAUCCGGAUUUAUUGGGUUUAAAGGGAGCGUAGGUGGAUUGUUAAGUCAGUUGUGAAAGUUUGCGGCUCAACCGUAAAAUUGCAGUUGAAACUGGCAGUCUUGAGUACAGUAGAGGUGGGCGGAAUUCGUGGUGUAGCGGUGAAAUGCUUAGAUAUCACGAAGAACUCCGAUUGCGAAGGCAGUUCACUGGACUGCAACUGACACUGAGGCUCGAAAGUGUGGGUAUCAAACAGGAUUAGAUACCCCAGUAGUC
rnacentral:rRNA from 1 species